GAUUGAACGCUGGCGGCAUGCCUUACACAUGCAAGUCGAACGGCAGCACGGGUGCUUGCACCUGGUGGCGAGUGGCGAACGGGUGAGUAAUACAUCGGAACAUGUCCUGUAGUGGGGGAUAGCCCGGCGAAAGCCGGAUUAAUACCGCAUACGAUCUACGGAUGAAAGCGGGGGACCUUCGGGCCUCGCGCUAUAGGGUUGGCCGAUGGCUGAUUAGCUAGUUGGUGGGGUAAAGGCCUACCAAGGCGACGAUCAGUAGCUGGUCUGAGAGGACGACCAGCCACACUGGGACUGAGACACGGCCCAGACUCCUACGGGAGGCAGCAGUGGGGAAUAUUGGACAAUGGGCGAAAGCCUGAUCCAGCAAUGCCGCGUGUGUGAAGAAGGCCUUCGGGUUGUAAAGCACUUUUGUCCGGAAAGAAAUCCUUGGCCCUAAUACGGUCGGGGGAUGACGGUACCGGAAGAAUAAGCACCGGCUAACUACGUG
rnacentral:rRNA from 1 species